AGAUAGGCGUUACUAAACGCCACAAGAUGUUAGAUAAUUAGAGUUAU
rfam:Cryptosporidium muris RN66 scf_1106632373469 genomic scaffold, whole genome shotgun sequence.